CGGGGCAUGGCUCAGCCUGGUAGAGCACCUGGUUUGGGACCAGGGGGUCGCAGGUUCGAAUCCUGCUGCCCCGACCA
rnacentral:tRNA from 1 species